rnacentral:lncRNA from 1 species
CCUCCCACCUCAGCCCCCCAAAGCGCUGGGAUUACUACAGAGAAGAUUUGUGAAGCUGUGUGACCUGCCUCCUUGCAACUGCCAGAGCUGCUCAAAGCUCCAAGAUUCCCUGCUGGGCAGCCACAUACCUGCCAAAGCAUUGUGUUCAAGGCUCUCAAGAAACCAGCCAUGAAAAGCUUCCCACUUCAGGAAAAAUCCCUUGCUUGACUUAUUCAGAGAUCAUGGAGGCCAAUACAACUGCAGACCAGAGAAAAAAAAUCUGGCUUUGUUGCUGUUAAAACUCAAUUCAAAGACUCAGGCUCCUUGAGAUCCCUGCAGGGUGAUUUUACUAUUUUCCCAGAGUGAUUUCAAAAUAUUUCGGCAAAUUCUUGGGCAUUUCUUCCAUUAAGAGAUAGAGUCUAUGUCCCAUUUUCUGGAGUAUGGGCAGCUCUUUGUGACUGCUUUCAUGACUUGAACACAGCUGAAAGGACAUCAGGUAACUUCUGAGGCUAGGUUAGAAAAAUCCAUGAAGAUUCUAUUUAUUUAUCUUAGGGCAUUGGACACCUUAAGCUGCCAUGUGAA